AUGGAAAAACAUCUUGUAAUGUAUUUAACCAGAAAAUCGAUUAUGCUCCUGCGGAAGUAUCUACUCGUAACGGAAUUUCAGGUGUCAAAGUGCAGAUCUCAUAUAGUCAAAAUAAGAAGGGAUGUGCUAUAUCUGAAACGUACGAAAUAUAGUAAAUAUUUUAAAUGCAGAUGUAGUAGGGGUCGCGAACCGGAUGGUACACAACUUGGUUUUGGAAGAUAUGGCACCAAAAGUUGUAGAGAUGGUCGUCUUUCAUAUCGAGCCAUUGAAGCAGCGCGUCGGGCAACAAUCGGACAAUUCCAUCGUGCUAUGAGCGGACAAUUUCGGAAUUGUAAGAUAUGGGUAAGAGUUCUCGCAGAUCUUCCUAUUACGGGGAAACCCGCAAUAGUUCGAAUGGGAAGAGGAAAAGGAAAUCCGACGGGUUGGAUUGCUUGUGUGUCCACGGGACAAAUCCCAUUUGAAAUGGAUGGUGUGAGUUUGUCAAAUUCUCGACAAGCUGCUAGAUUAGCGGUGCAUAAACCAUGUUCGUCAACCAAGUUUGUUUAG
rnacentral:rRNA from 1 species